CCCUCAUUCUCCUCCUCCUCCUCCUCCUCCACAUCCGAACGAAUCGUCUUCUCCUAGGUCGUACCCUCUUCUCCCUUCACUCAAACCCCCUCGCUCUCCUCCUCCCCCUCCUCCGUCGCCGCAACCGAUGAGCUAGGGCUCCGGCGGCCAGAGUUCGGUCGCGAGGAUCUCGCGGGGACCGUCGCUGGAGGAGUAAGCGCCAAACGUCGAGGCGACGACGGUGGUGGGGAAGCAGGAGUCCGGCGAUCUGGUGGUGCUCGCGGCGGCGUCGAAGGCGUCGAAGGGGUAGACGGAGAAGAAGCUCUUAAUGCCAGUUGAACCGAAUUUCCAAGACAUAGGUGGUACUAAGAAAUUUUCGAAAAGAAACACUUCAGGUUCGGCUAACUUUGGUACUAACUCAAAGCUUAAGAGGCCUAUGCGCUCUAAGGAAAUUGUCUCAGAUGCAUCUAGCGCUCGUAAUAUUCAUCCACAACCUCAUUGCCCUUCAGGUUCAACAUUUUAAUUGCCGAGCUCAUUACGACCGGAUCUGAUAUGAUAUUAUUAGCUUUUGUUUUUAUUUCUCCUUCUCUUGGGUUGAAAAGCUAGAGAUUAUUGAUACUGUGAUUUAGUGACUAAAUACUCGUUUAAAGAUAUAUGGAUAAUACUUCGAGACAUUUUGGUAUUAAUUUGUGUAACUACAAAAUUUCUUUUAUAUGCUUU